rnacentral:sRNA from 1 species
AUCGGAUAACCGUGCUCGAUCUCGACCACGAUGUUCUGCUGGU